UUGGAUCUCGCGGUCUGAGGGCGGUUCGCUUGAUUGAGUGCUACUGCUCUAUAGGCCGUGGUUUUGCCAGAGGUCUCGGGGUGCUCUUAACCGAGUGUCCUGCGAUGCUGGCAGGUUUACUUUGAAAAAAUUAGAGUGCUCAAAGCAGGCUUUUACGCCUGAAUAUUCGUGCAUGGAAUAAUAGAAUAGGAAGUCGUUUCUAUUUUGUUGGUUUUCGGAAAUCGACUUAAUGAUUAAUAGGGACAGUCGGGGGCAUUUGUAUUCAAACGACAGAGGUGAAAUUCUUGGACCGUUUGAAGACAAACUACUGCGAAAGCAUUUGCCGAGAAUGUUUUCAUUAAUCAAGAACGAAAGUUAGAGGUUCGAAGGCGAUUAGAUACCGCCCUAGUUCU
rnacentral:rRNA from 1 species